AACGAACGCUGGCGGCAGGUCUUAGGCAUGCAAGUCGAACGGGUGUAGUAAUACACCAGUGGCGAACGAGUGAGUAACGCGUGGGAAUCUGCCCAUCUCUGGGGAAUAACGUUUGGAAACGAACGCUAAUACCGCAUACGCCCGCAAGGGGAAAGAUUUAUCGGAGAUGGAUGAGACCGCGUUGGAUUAGUUAGUUGGUGGGGUAACGGCCUACCAAGGCGAUGAUCCAUAGCUGGUCUGAGAGGACGAUCAGCCACGCUGGAACUGAGAUACGGUCCAGACUCAUACGGGAGGCAGCAGCUGCGAGUAUUGGGCAAUGGAGGAAUCUCUGGCCCAGCCAUGCCGCGUGAGUGAUGAAGGCCUUAGGGUUGUAAAGCUCUUUCGACGGGGACGAUGAUGACGGUACCCGUAGAAGAAGCCCCGGCUAACUUCGUGCCAGCCGCCGCCGUAA
rnacentral:rRNA from 1 species